CUAAUUUUGACUUUCUAACUCUUAAUUUCCCAAACAUCAAAUUUCUGAUUUAAUUGAGCUGAACUAACAUAGAUUUCUGCAAAUUUCUGCAACAAAUCUGCAGUAAAGGCAUUUCGUUUCGGAAGUUCGAAGAGCUAUAACCGGUCGAAUGCGUGCAGAAGAAGCCGAUGCGGAUGAGAUCGUUGAGAUGGCAAGUAAAGCCACUCUUGAAGAGCAACAAAGGCAAAUUCAAGAAAAUAUUCACGAAAAAAUAAGUACUUUCUGAACGUAUAUGGAUGACAUUCUUCGUCCUGAUCCAAAGAUGGUGAACGCUACUAACUUGUCAUCAGAAGCAAAACUGCCCCUCGGCGUAGUGGCCUAAGUCUUGCUGUUUGCAAGACCACACCGGUGGUGGAUCAUAAUCCCUGUGAUUAAAAUUCUUAACGAUCGUCAAGUAGCGUUGGUGUCAUUCAUAUCCAUUUGCAUUUUAGUGUUUUGGUCUCGAAUUAUUUUGUCAUGUAAACCUCCCAAAUUUGAUGAUUGCGGUACUCAGGCAUGGCUGUGCCAGAGACAAGAUGAUCAAGCAUUGCGAGGUUUCAAGCCAUCUCAAAUUCAACACUAGGAUGCUGGCCAUGGCUUGUUUCUGGAUGGCGAAGCCGUAAUAGCUAUUUACCUUGGCAACACAUACUCACCGGCAUAUUACCAAUACAUUCCCGGACACCACAGAGUUUAUUUAGAGAACCCUUAUUUGAUCAAGAGAUAUGAUGGAACAGUGAUGAAUGCGCAGCCCGGUGGUGAAGCUCGUGAAAUGUGUGACGGAUCAAGUGCUCCACGGUCCGAGCUGUUGAAUGCUGAAGGCGAUGUAAAUGGCUCUGAUCGGAUGUGGAAGCUGCUUCGUAAACCAUUAGAUGGCUCGAAAGUUGGGGGUGGUAAUUAAAGGAGUGGUUCUUGAAAGGAAACAUCCGAUCUCUUUCUUCAUCUCGCAACCAUCCAUCGAAGGAUUUUCUCCCUAAUGUAAUGGUGAGAAUCUGAGCAGCUACAUCCCGGAAGAUGGAGCUAAGCUUGGCUAGUUGAUUUGAUCUCUGAUGUAGUAAUUCACAGAAUCACCAUUGAAACUUCUCUAUGCAAAGAUCAAGAUAUUUCAAAUAUUUCCUAUCAAUUUUAUGUGUGGUGAAAAAUACAUAAAUUUUCGUGUA